rnacentral:rRNA from 1 species
AUGAAGGACUUCGUGGGGCUGGGGCACCUGUUCGUGGUGGCAUUCCUCUUCCACUUCUCCUCCUUCAUGGUGCUCCCGGCGAUCACCGACGUGACCAUGGAGGCCGUCUGCCCCGGCCGCGACGAAUGCUCCGUCGCCAUCUACCUCAGCGGCUUCCAGAACGCCAUCACGGGGCUGGGGGCUCUGGUGGUGACUCCGAUUGUUGGGAAUUUGUCGGACAAGUACGGCCGGAAGGCGCUGAUGACGCUGCCGGUGACCCUCGCCAUUUUGCCUCUCUUUAUAUUGGCGUGCAACCGGUCGGAGGUGUACUUCUACGUGUACUACGUGAUGAAGAUACUCGCCGGGAUCUUCUGCGAGGGCAGCAUCCACUGCCUCUCGCUUGCUUACGUGGCGGACCACGUAGGGACCAAACGGCGGGCGGCGGCGUUCGGGCUCCUCUCAGGCGUGUCGGCGGCCGGCUUCCUCUCGGGGACCCUCACCGCGCGGUUCCUCGCCACGUCCUCCACCUUCCAGGUCGCCGCGGCCGUCGGGACCGCGGGAGCCAUCUACCUCAGGGCGUUCGUCCCGGAUUCCGGCGCCGCUGUCUCCUUCCAUGACGAUGCCUGCGAUCCCCUGCUCCAAGACUCGUCCUGCUCCUCUGCGGCUUCGUCUUCCGCUUCCUCCGACGAAGAGCUGUCGCCGAGGCUUCCGCCCUACAAGGGCGUGCUGCCGUCGCCGUCCGACAUGGUCGCACUCCUCACUGGCAGUUUGACCUUGUCAACGGCGGCCAUGAUUACUUUCUUUUACAGUCUCGGUGAACACGGACUUCAGACUGCAUUACUGUACUACCUGAAAGCGCAGUUUGGCUACAGCAAAGACGAGUUUGCUAAUCUAAUGCUGAUUGCCGGUGCUGCGGGAAUGAUCUCACAGUUAACAGUAAUGCCAAUAUUUGCUCCAAUCGUUGGUGAGGAGAUGCUACUUAUUGUUGGGCUGUUAGGAGGGUGCACUCAUGUUUUCCUGUAUGGCAUCGCAUGGUCGUACUGGGUGCCAUAUUUUGCUGCAUCGUUUAUAAUUUUGAGUGCUUUUGUUCACCCAUCUAUAAGGACCAAUGUAUCAAAAAGCGUUGGAUCAAAUGAGCAGGGAAUUGCUCAAGGUUGUAUAUCUGGAAUUAGUUCUUUUGCCAGCAUAUUAGCUCCACUUGUCUUUACUCCGUUGACAGCAUGGUUCCUUUCAGAAACAACGCCGUUCAACUUCAAAGGCUUCAGCAUUAUGGUUGCUGGUUUUUGUACGCUCAUUGCCUUUGUCAUCAGCAUUAGGAUGCGCGCGGCGAGAUGUGGAGUUAGCGAGAAAGUGAGCCUUGUGCAGCAUGAGCAAGCAUGA